CCUUAUCUCUUUACACGGUGCAUCCGUCCUCCACUCAUCCUUCUCUGUCCAUCUCUUUUCUCUUCUCCCCAUUAAAUUUCUCAACAUCGCACAACGAGCUCGUCCAUGUCUCUGCUGACGGCGCGGCCAUCUGCUGCUGCUCCGGCUGGGAGACACCGCGAGCCUGGGGCCAGGCGUGGGAGCUCUGUAGCUGGUUACCCCCUUUCCUGCCCACGCUACAAGGGGGAAGCGCCUUAUUGCAAGGAAGACGAAUAGGGCCCGUGGCUGGGGAGCAGCCGGCCGGAGAUGUUUCAACUGGCGGGGUCAGCGAAGAGUGAGAAUUUCAUGGCGGAGCUACAACAGCGACGGCGGUGACGGAAUUUUGCUACAUCCAUUGCCAGAUUUUGCUACGACCGGCAAGAAUUUUUGAUAUGAUGAUUUCAUGGUGAAGCUGCAAUUGCGAUGGCGGUGACGAAGUUUUGCUGCAUCCAUCGUCGGAUUUUGCUUCCACCGGCGAGGAAUUUUGCUACAAUCGGCGUUUGUGGCUGGCGGUGGCUACAACCAUGACUGGGAAGAUACAACCACGAUCACCGGCGUCGCAUUUUUGCUACAACCACGUCGCCUUUUGCUACAACCGGAGUCGCUCUUUGCUACAACCGUCCGUCGGCCAUGUGGAACUGGCUGUGCGAGGAGCUUCGAGCGGCAGAUGGGGAUGGUACAACCGGUCGCCGGAGAUGCUGGAACCGGCAGUGCGGGGAGCUGCGAGCGGCAGCGAGGAUGCUACAACUGUCUAGGCGUGAAGCAACAACCCCUAGCAUUCUUUUGCUGGAAGCGGCCGCCGGCGAUGCUUUUUAGAGAAAAGGCCAUAGCCCGAGUUUAUAGAUAAAGCCACCAGGCAGAGUUAACAAGGACCCAGACAACCAGCACACAAAUGCCAAAGUAUCAAGCCAGAACACGAAGAAGGAAGUCUAAGUACAUGGCUCCUAGGCCAGUACACGGCACGCAGGCCGGAAGAGGAUAAGAAAACGUAGCAACACAACGACGUCUACGGGCCCGCUUGGUUUGGAAGGAUGGAGAUAGGAGACUUUCGGAUCUUGGCCAACAUGGCGUCAAAUGCAUCCCUGUCCUCCUUCUUAGUCAAUAAACUCCACUGCUGCAGGAAUAUACAAGUCUUAAAUAAUCAAUCAGCAGGCUUAGCAGGAAAGACAUGUUCGAUAGUAAAUUUAUUCCUUGUCGUCCAUAAAGACCAACACAUGGCAGCAAAGCCAACCCAAAACAAUCUCCUCUGGGCCCCAACCAAAGAAUUAGCCAAGGCUCGUAAGUCCGCAAAGGAGGUCGGAGCCCAGGAGACAUGCAACCAUGAUCUGAUACAACACCAAAACAGCUUAGCCAGGACGCAGUUAAAAAAAAUAUGAGGUGUAUCUUCUCUCGUCCCACAUAGAACACAACAGUCAGAACCCGGACCAUUACGUUUACGGAUUUGGUCACCCGUAGGUAGACGCCCGCGAGAGGCUUGCCAGAGAAACACUUUAAUCUUAGGGGGGAUGCGAGCUUUCCAUAUCCACUUAAAUUUGGAGGUGAUGGAUCCCUCAAUAAGUUUGCUAUA